UGGGGAAUCUUGCGCAAUGGGCGAAAGCCUGACGCAGCGACGCCGCGUGGGGGAUGAAGGCCCUCGGGUUGUAAACCCCUUUCGGCAGGGACGAAGCGAAAGUGACGGUACCUGCAGAAGAAGCCCCGGCUAACUACGUGCCAGCAGCCGCGGUAAGACGUAGGGGGCGAGCGUUGUCCGGAUUCAUUGGGCGUAAAGCGCGCGCAGGCGGCCACGCAAGUCGGGUGUGAAAUCCCGGGGCUCAACCCCGGACCGUCAUUCGAAACUGCGUGGCUAGAGGCAGGUAGGGGAGAUCGGAAUUCCCGGUGUAGCGGUGAAAUGCGCAGAUAUCGGGAGGAACACCGGUGGCGAAGGCGGAUCUCUGGGCCUGUCCUGACGCUCAGGCGCGAAAGCUAGGGGAGCGAACAG
rnacentral:rRNA from 1 species